AUUGAACGCUGGCGGCAUGCCUUACACAUGCAAGUCGAACGGUAACAGGUUAAGCUGGCGAGUGGCGAGCGGGUGAGUAAUGUAUCGGAACGUGCCCAGUCGUGGGGGAUAACUGCUCGAAAGAGCAGCUAAUACCGCAUACGACCUGAGGGUGAAAGCGGGGGAUCGCAAGACCUCGCGCGAUUGGAGCGGCCGAUAUCAGAUUAGGUAGUUGGUGAGGUAAAGGCUCACCAAGCCGACGAUCUGUAGCUGGUCUGAGAGGACGACCAGCCACACUGGGACUGAGACACGGCCCAGACUCCUACGGGAGGCAGCAGUGGGGAAUUUUGGACAAUGGGCGCAAGCCUGAUCCAGCCAUGCCGCGUGCGGGAAGAAGGCCUUCGGGUUGUAAACCGCUUUUGUCAGGGAAGAAAAGGUUCUGGCUAAUACCUGGGACUCAUGACGGUACCUGAAGAAUAAGCACCGGCUAACUACGUG
rnacentral:rRNA from 1 species